rnacentral:rRNA from 1 species
AUGCACCGUGCACUCACACAUUCCGAGAUACCAACGAGUAAUAAUAAGAAUAUUUGGAAGUCUAAAAUUCCACUAAAAGUGAAAAUCUUCAUGUGGUAUCUCCAUAGGGGAGUUGUGUUAACCAAAGACAACCCCGCACGGUGCAACUGGCGAGGGAGUAAGAAGUGUUCUUUUUGUACUCAUGACGAGACAAUCAAACACCUCUUUUUCCAAUGCAAGUUUGCACGUUCUAUGUGGUCAGUCAUCCAAAUAGCGUCAAAUUUGUAUCCGUCCACAAGUGUUGCCAAUAUUUUUGGUCAUUGGUUGGACGGUAUUACAAAUAGGUUCAAAACGCUAAUAAGGGUGGGAGCGUAUGCUAGAAAUGAUUUGGUUUUUAAAAUGCUUCUCCUCUACAGGUUAUUUUCCGGUGUACGCACUCGCUACGUACGUGGUCUAUACUACAACGGCCGGAGUACCAACCGCUGUUCAUGGCAGUGUGUACGCGAUUGGAGCAGGUGGCUACGGAGGUUUUUUCCCAACAUGGGUGGCAACAUAACCUACGGAUCGAACCACCACCUUCUUCGACAUAGGCAUAGUGUCGGUCUAAAAGACUCUACUGUUGCCGGUUUGUCGAUUUUUAUUCAUGAUUUUUGUCAGAUUUUUGGAUUUGGCUAUGUGCAUCUUAGUUAUGCAGAGGCUGGGUGUUACUCAUAA